CCUACGGGGGGCAGCAGUGGGGAAUAUUGGGCAAUGGGCGCAAGCCUGACCCAGCAACGCCGCGUGAAGGAAGAAGGCUUUCGGGUUGUAAACUUCUUUUCUCAGGGACGAAGCAAGUGACGGUACCUGAGGACUAAGCCACGGCUAACUACGUGCCAGCAGCCGCGGUAAUACGUAGGUGGCAAGCGUUAUCCGGAUUUACUGGGUGUAAAGGGCGUGUAGGCGGGAAAGCAAGUCAGAUGUGAAAACCAUGGGCUCAACCUGUGGCCUGCAUUUGAAACUGUUUUUCUUGAGUACUGGAGAGGCAGACGGAAUGCCUAGUGUAGCGGUGAAAUGCGUAGAUAUUAGGAGGAACACCAGUGGCGAAGGCGGUCUGCUGGACAGCAACUGACGCUGAGGCGCGAAAGCGUGGGGAGCAAACAGGAUUAGAUACCCCAGUAGUC
rnacentral:rRNA from 1 species